rnacentral:rRNA from 2 species
AUAAUAAGCUAUUAAGGGCUAAUGGUGGAUGCCUUGACUGUAAGAGGCGAUGAAGGACGUAUUAGGCUGCGAUAAGCCUCGGGGAGCUGCCAAAGAGCUUUGAUCCGAGGAUUUCCGAAUGGGGCAACCCAGCAUGGUGAGAACUAUGUUACCCUACGGGGAGCGAACCUGGUGAAGUGAAACAUCUCAGUAGCCAGAGGAAGAGAAAUCAAAUGAGAUUCCCAUAGUAGCGGCGAGCGAACUGGGAUUAGGACAAACCCAAUGCUUGCAUUGGGGGUUGUAGGACUAUAAUGUGUAAUUAAAGAGAAUAGAUGAAAUAGUUGGAAAGCUAUAGCAUAGAAGGUGAUACUCCUGUAAUUAAAAUUCUCAAUAAUACUAAUAGUAUCCUGAGUAGGUCGGAACACGUGAUAUUUUGACUGAAGCUGGGGGGACCACCCUCCAAUCCUAAAUACUACUUACAGAUCGAUAGUGAACAAGUACCGUGAGGGAAAGGUGAAAAGUACUGCAGCGAGCAGAGUGAAAUAGAACCUGAAACCAUUAGCUUACAAUCAUUCAGAGCCCUAUGUCUUGUACAGGGUGAUGGACUGCCUUUUGCAUAAUGAGCCUGCGAGUUGUGGUGUCUGGCAAGGUUAAGCCAAGUGCGAAGCCGUAGCGAAAGCGAGUCUUAAUAGGGCGA